CCGCACAAGCAGCGGAGCGUGUGGUUUAAUUCGUUGCUACACGAAGAACCUUACCUGGGUUUGACAUAUAGGUUGUAGGGAACUGAAAAGGGACCGACCCUUCGGGGAGCCUAUACAGGUGUUGCAUGGCUGUCGUCAGCUCGUGUCGUGAGGUGUUCGGUUAAGUCCGCUAACGAGCGCAACCCUCGUCGUAUGUUAUAUGUGUCAUACGAGACUGCCGGUAAAAAGCCGGAGGAAGGUGAGGAUGACGUCAAGUCAGCAUGACCUUUAUAUCCAGGGCUACACACACGCUACAAUGGUCUGUACAAUGGGUAGCCAAGCCGCGAGGCGGAGCCAAUCCUGAAAGCAGGCCUCAGUUCAGAUUGCAGUCUGCAACUCGACUGCAUGAAGCCGGAGUUGCUAGUAACCGCAGGUCAGCAAUACUGCGGUGAAUACGUUCCCGGGUCUU
rnacentral:rRNA from 1 species